rnacentral:rRNA from 1 species
CCCUUCGAUGUUCUGGGCAGCACGCGCGCUACAAUGGUCUUCGCAAACGGAUGCAUUCUCGAAGGAGAAUGCCAAUCUUGGAAUCUAUGCCUUGGUCGGGACAGUUGCUUGCAAUUUUUCGACUCGAACCAGGAAUUCCUUGUAAUCGUGAUUCAUCACAUCACGAUGAAUACGUCCCUGCCCUUUGUACACACCGCCCGUCGCUCCUACCGAUCGAAGAGUUAGGUGAAUUGUUUUGAUCGAUAAGAUUUGACUAUGGUCAACUCUCGUUGUGAAAUUCUGUGAAUCUGACUGUUUAGAGGAAGGAAAAGUCGUAACA